rnacentral:rRNA from 1 species
GAUGAACGCUGGCGGCGUGCCUAACACAUGCAAGUCGAACGGAGAUUACGGACGGAAGUUUUCGGAUGGAAGACUGUAAUUCUUAGUGGCGGACGGGUGAGUAACGCGUGGGCAACCUGCCCUAUACAGGGGGAUAGCAGCUGGAAACGGCUGGUAAGACCGCAUAAGUCGGUUAAAUCGCAUGAUUUGAUCGGGAAAUGAGCAAUCAGGUAUAGGAUGGGCCCGCGUCCGAUUAGCCAGUUGGCAGGGUAAAAGCCUACCAAAGCGACGAUCGGUAGCCGGACUGAGAGGUCGGACGGCCACAUUGGGACUGAGACACGGCCCAAACUCCUACGGGAAGCAGCAGUGGGGGAUAUUGCACAAUGGAGGAAACUCUGAUGCAGCGACGCCGCGUGAGUGAAGAAGUAUUUCGGUAUGUAAAGCUCUAUCAGCAGGGAAGAUGAUGACGGUACCUAACUAAGAAGCCCCGGCUAACUACGUG